CCUACGGGUGGCUGCAGUGAGGAAUAUUGGUCAAUGGUCGGGAGACUGAACCAGCCAAGCCGCGUGAGGGAGGAAGGUACAGAGUAUCGUAAACCUCUUUUGUCAGGGAACAAAGACUGGGACGCGUCCCCGGAUGAGUGUACCUGAAGAAAAAGCAUCGGCUAACUCCGUGCCAGCAGCCGCGGUAAUACGGAGGAUGCGAGCGUUAUCCGGAUUUAUUGGGGUUAAAGGGUGCGCAGGCGGUCUGUUAAGUCAGCGGUCAAAGCCCGGGGCCAAACCCCGGCCCGCAGUUGAAACUGGCAGUCUCGAGUUGGAGAGAAGUAUGCGGAAUUCUCGGUGUAGCAGUGAAAUGCUGAGAUAUCGCGAGGAACACUCGUGGCGAAGGCGGGUUCCUGGACAUUAACUGACGCUGAGGCACGAAGGCCAGGGGAGCGAAAGGGAUUAGAUACCCCAGUAGUC
rnacentral:rRNA from 1 species